GACGAACGCUGGCGGCGUGCCUAAUACAUGCAAGUCGAACGAACUCUGGUAUUGAUUGGUGCUUGCAUCAUGAUUUACAUUUGAGUGAGUGGCGAACUGGUGAGUAACACGUGGGAAACCUGCCCAGAAGCGGGGGAUAACACCUGGAAACAGAUGCUAAUACCGCAUAACAACUUGGACCGCAUGGUCCGAGCUUGAAAGAUGGCUUCGGCUAUCACUUUUGGAUGGUCCCGCGGCGUAUUAGCUAGAUGGUGGGGUAACGGCUCACCAUGGCAAUGAUACGUAGCCGACCUGAGAGGGUAAUCGGCCACAUUGGGACUGAGACACGGCCCAAACUCCUACGGGAGGCAGCAGUAGGGAAUCUUCCACAAUGGACGAAAGUCUGAUGGAGCAACGCCGCGUGAGUGAAGAAGGGUUUCGGCUCGUAAAACUCUGUUGUUAAAGAAGAACAUAUCUGAGAGUAACUGUUCAGGUAUUGACGGUAUUUAACCAGAAAGCCACGGCUAACUACGUGCCAGCAGCCGCGGUAAUACGUAGGUGGCAAGCGUUGUCCGGAUUUAUUGGGCGUAAAGCGAGCGCAGGCGGUUUUUUAAGUCUGAUGUGAAAGCCUUCGGCUCAACCGAAGAAGUGCAUCGGAAACUGGGAAACUUGAGUGCAGAAGAGGACAGUGGAACUCCAUGUGUAGCGGUGAAAUGCGUAGAUAUAUGGAAGAACACCAGUGGCGAAGGCGGCUGUCUGGUCUGUAACUGACGCUGAGGCUCGAAAGUAUGGGUAGCAAACAGGAUUAGAUACCCUGGUAGUCCAUACCGUAAACGAUGAAUGCUAAGUGUUGGAGGGUUUCCGCCCUUCAGUGCUGCAGCUAACGCAUUAAGCAUUCCGCCUGGGGAGUACGGCCGCAAGGCUGAAACUCAAAGGAAUUGACGGGGGCCCGCACAAGCGGUGGAGCAUGUGGUUUAAUUCGAAGCUACGCGAAGAACCUUACCAGGUCUUGACAUACUAUGCAAAUCUAAGAGAUUAGACGUUCCCUUCGGGGACAUGGAUACAGGUGGUGCAUGGUUGUCGUCAGCUCGUGUCGUGAGAUGUUGGGUUAAGUCCCGCAACGAGCGCAACCCUUAUUAUCAGUUGCCAGCAUUAAGUUGGGCACUCUGGUGAGACUGCCGGUGACAAACCGGAGGAGGGUGGGGAUGACGUCAAAUCAUCAUGCCCCUUAUGACCUGGGCUACACACGUGCUACAAUGGAUGGUACAACGAGUUGCGAACUCGCGAGAGUAAGCUAAUCUCUUAAAGCCAUUCUCAGUUCGGAUUGUAGGCUGCAACUUGCCUACAUGAAGUCGGAAUCGCUAGUAAUCGCGGAUCAGCAUGCCGCGGUGAAUACGUUCCCGGGCCUUGUACACACCGCCCGUCACACCAUGAGAGUUUGUAACACCCAAAGUCGGUGGGGUAACCUUUUAGGAACCAGCCGCCUAAGGUGGGACAGAUGAUUAGGGUG
rnacentral:rRNA from 1 species